CCUACGGGAUGCAGCAGUGGGGAAUAUUGGGCAAUGGGCGCAAGCCUGACCCAGCAACGCCGCGUGAAGGAAGAAGGCUCUAGGGUUGUAAACUUCUUUUAUCAGGGACGAAGAACGUGACGGUACCUGAUGAAUAAGACACGGCUAACUACGUGCCAGCAGCCGCGGUAAUACGUAGGUGGCAAGCGUUAUCCGGAUUUACUGGGUGUAAAGGGCGUGUAGGCGGGAAAGCAAGUCAGAUGUGAAAAGCAUGGGCUCAACCUGUGGCCUGCAUUUGAAACUGUUUUUCUUGAGUACUGGAGAGGCAGACGGAAUUCCUGGUGUAGCGGUGAAAUGCGUAGAUAUUAGGAGGAACACCAGUGGCGAAGGCGGUCUGCUGGACAGCAACUGACGCUGAGGCGCGAAAGCGUGGGGAGCAAACAGGAUUAGAUACCCCAGUAGUC
rnacentral:rRNA from 1 species